GUCUAGGGUAGCCUAGUGUUCAUCGCAUCUGCCCGGUAAGCGGAAGGUCGUGGGUUCGAUUCCCAUCCCUUGACA
rnacentral:tRNA from 1 species